rnacentral:rRNA from 1 species
CUCUUAAUUGAAGGCUUGUAUGAACGGUUGGACGAAAGAGCGUAGCUGUCUUUGCUGUAAUGUUUGAAGUUGACUUUUGAGUGAAAAGGCUCAAAUAAUAUAAGGGGACGAUAAGACCCUAUAAAACUUUACAAAUGAAUUGUGGUGAAUCUUAAAUUGUUAGUUAAAUGUUGGUUAACUUGGUAUGUGUGUCGUUGGGGCGCCAUUAGUAUAAAUUUUAACUAACUGUUCAUUCAUAAAAUUAACAGUGUUUAUGGACGCAUUUUUGAUCCUUUAUUAGAGAUUAAAAGAUUAAGUUACUUUAGGGAUAACAGCGAA